rnacentral:tRNA from 1 species
GGGUAUGUAGCUCAGUGGUAGAGUGCUUGCCUAGCAUGCAGGAGACCCUUGCUUUAACCCCCAGCAUUGCCU